rnacentral:rRNA from 1 species
AAUGGGCGGAAGCCUGAUCCAGCCAUGCCGCGUGUGUGAAGAAGGCCUUUUGGUUGUAAAGCACUUUAAGCGAGGAGGAGGCUACUUAGAUUAAUACUCUAGGAUAGUGGACGUUACUCGCAGAAUAAGCACCGGCUAACUCUGUGCCAGCAGCCGCGGUAAUACAGAGGGUGCGAGCGUUAAUCGGAUUUACUGGGCGUAAAGCGUGCGUAGGCGGCUGAUUAAGUCGGAUGUGAAAUCCCUGAGCUUAACUUAGGAAUUGCAUUCGAUACUGGUCAGCUAGAGUAUGGGAGAGGAUGGUAGAAUUCCAGGUGUAGCGGUGAAAUGCGUAGAGAUCUGGAGGAAUACCGAUGGCGAAGGCAGCCAUCUGGCCUAAUACUGACGCUGAGGUACGAAAGCAUGGGGAGCAAA